rnacentral:sRNA from 1 species
CAGCCCCAUUAUUGAGCAUGACCCUCGGAUGCCAGCCUACAUAGCCACACAGGGCCCGCUGUCCCAUACCAUCGCAGACUUCUGGCAGAUGGUGUGGGAGAGUGGCUGCACCGUCAUCGUCAUGCUGACCCCGCUGGUGGAGGAUGGUGUCAAGCAGUGUGACCGCUACUGGCCAGAUGAGGGUGCCUCCCUCUACCACGUAUAUGAGCUGGCCGGCAGAGGGCACACCGGCCUCCACGCGGCCCCUGCUAGACUUCCGCAGGAAGGUGAACAAGUGCUACCGGGGCCGCUCCUGCCCCAUCAUCGUGCACUGCAGUGAUGGUGCGGGGAGGACCGGCACCUACAUCCUCAUCGACAUGGUCCUGAACCGCAUGGCAAAAGGAGUGAAGGAGAUUGACAUCGCUGCCACCCUGGAGCAUGUCCGUGACCAGCGGCCUGGCCUUGUCCGCUCUAAGGACCAGUUUGAAUUUGCCCUGACAGCCGUGGCGGAGGAGGUGAAUGCCAUCCUCAAGGCCCUGCCCCAGUGAGACUCUGAGGCCCCUCGGCGGGCAGCCCAGCCUCUGUCCCUCUUUGCCUGUGUGAGCAUCUCUGUGUACCCACUCCUCCCUGCCCCACCAGCCACCUCUUGGGCAUGCUCAGCCCUUCCUAGAAGAGUCAGGAAGGGGAAGCCAGAAGGGGCACGCCUGCCCAGCCUCACGCAUGC